GCAGUCGAACGGAGUUACGAUGAAACCUAGUGAUUCGUAACUUAGUGGCGGACGGUUGAGUAACGCGUGGAUAACCUGCCUUACACUGGGGGAUAACACUUAGAAAUAGGUGCUAAUACCGCAUAAGCGCACGGAGCCGCAUGGCUCAGUGUGAAAAACUCCGGUGGUGUAAGAUGGAUCCGCGUCUGAUUAGCUGGUUGGCGGGGUAGAAGCCCACCAAGGCGACGAUCAGUAGCCGGCCUGAGAGGGUGAACGGCCACAUUGGGACUGAGACACGGCCCAAACUCCUACGGGAGGCAGCAGUGGGGAAUAUUGCACAAUGGGGGAAACCCUGAUGCAGCAACGCCGCGUGAGUGAAGAAGUCAUUCGUGAUGUAAAGCUCUAUCAGCAGGGAAGAAAAUGACGGUACCUGAGUAAGAAGCCCCGGCUAACUACGUGCCAGCAGCCGCGGUAAUACGUAGGGGACAAGCGUUAUCCGGAUUUACUGGGUGUAAAGGGAGCGUAGACGGCCAGACAAGUCUGAAGUGAAAAUCCAGCGCUUAACGUUGGAAGUGCUUUGGAAACUGCCGGGCUAGAGUGCAGGAGGGGCAGGCGGAAUUCCUAGUGUAGCGGUGAAAUGCGUAGAUAUUAGGAGGAACACCAGUGGCGAAGGCGGCCUGCUGGACUGCAACUGACGUUGAGGCUCGAAGGCGUGGGGAGCAAACAGGAUUAGAUACCCUGGUAGUCCACGCGGUAAACGAUGAUUACUAGGUGUCGGGGGGCUAGAGCCCUUCGGUGCCGUCGCAAACGCAAUAAGUAAUCCACCUGGGGAGUACGUUCGCAA
rnacentral:rRNA from 1 species